rnacentral:rRNA from 1 species
UACGUAGGGGGCAAGCGUUGUCCGGAUUUAUUGGGCGUAAAGAGCGUGUAGGCGGCCAGAUAGGUCCGUUGUGAAAACUCGAGGCUCAACCUCGAGACGCCGAUGGAAACCAUCUGGCUAGAGUCCGGAAGAGGAGAGUGGAAUUCCCGGUGUAGCGGUGGAAUGCGUAGAGAUCGGGAAGAACAUCAGUGGCGAAGGCGGCCUGCUGGGCUGUUGCUGACGCUGAGGCGCGACAGCGUGGGGAGCAAACAGG